CUCAAAGGAAUUGACGGGGACCCGCACAAGCGGUGGAGCAUGUGGUUUAAUUCGAAGCAACGCGAAGAACCUUACCAAAUCUUGACAUCCUUUGACAACUCUAGAGAUAGAGCCUUCCCCUUCGGGGGACAAAGUGACAGGUGGUGCAUGGUUGUCGUCAGCUCGUGUCGUGAGAUGUUGGGUUAAGUCCCGCAACGAGCGCAACCCUUAAGCUUAGUUGCCAUCAUUAAGUUGGGCACUCUAAGUUGACUGCCGGUGACAAACCGGAGGAAGGUGGGGAUGACGUCAAAUCAUCAUGCCCCUUAUGAUUUGGGCUACACACGUGCUACAAUGGACAAUACAAAGGGCAGCGAAACCGCGAGGUCAAGCAAAUCCCAUAAAGUUGUUCUCAGUUCGGAUUGUAGUCUGCAACUCGACUACAUGAAGCUGGAAUCGCUAGUAAUCGUAGAUCAGCAUGCUACGGUGAAUACGUUCCCGGGUCUUGUACACACCGCCCGUCACACCACGAGAGUUUGUAACACCCGAAGCCGGUGGAGUAACCUUUUAGGAGCUAGCCGUCGAAGGUGGGACAAAUGAUUGGGGUGAAGUCGUAACAAGGUAGCCGUAUCGGAAGGUGCGGCUGGAUCACCUCCUUU
rnacentral:rRNA from 1 species